UUGGAGGGCAAGUCUGGUGCCAGCAGCCGCGGUAAUUCCAGCUCCAAUAGCGUAUAUUAAAGUUGUUGCAGUUAAAAAGCUCGUAGUUGAAUUUCGGGAUCAGUAUGUCGGUCGUGCUUCGGUACGUACUGUCAUUACUGGUUUCUCCCUUCUGACGAACCAUGAUGUCAUUAAUUUGGUGUCUUGGGAAAUCAGGACUGUUACUUUGAAAAAAUUAGAGUGUUUAAAGCAGGCAUACGCUUGAAUACAUUAGCAUGGAAUAAUGAAAUAGGACGUUUGAUUCUAUUUUGUUGGUUUCUAGGAUCGACGUAAUGAUUAAUAGGGAUAGUUGGGGGCAUUAGUAUUCAAUUGUCAGAGGUGAAAUUCUUGGAUUUAUUGAAGACUAACUACUGCGAAAGCAUUUGCCAAGGAUGUUUUCAUUAAUCAAGAACGAAAGUUAGGGGAUCGAAGACGAUCAGAUACCGUCGUAGUCUCAACCAUAAACUAUGCCGACUAGGGAUCGGAUGAUGUUAAUUUUUUAAUGACUCAUUCGGCGCCUUACGGGAAACCAAAGUGUUUGGGUUC
rnacentral:rRNA from 1 species